rnacentral:rRNA from 1 species
UGAACGCUGGCGGCGUGCCUAAUACAUGCAAGUCGAGCGAACAGACGAGGAGCUUGCUCCUCUGACGUUAGCGGCGGACGGGUGAGUAACACGUGGAUAACCUACCUAUAAGACUGGGAUAACUUCGGGAAACCGGAGCUAAUACCGGAUAAUAUAUUGAACCGCAUGGUUCAAUAGUGAAAGACGGUUUUGCUGUCACUUAUAGAUGGAUCCGCGCCGCAUUAGCUAGUUGGUAAGGUAACGGCUUACCAAGGCGACGAUGCGUAGCCGACCUGAGAGGGUGAUCGGCCACACUGGAACUGAGACACGGUCCAGACUCCUACGGGAGGCAGCAGUAGGGAAUCUUCCGCAAUGGGCGAAAGCCUGACGGAGCAACGCCGCGUGAGUGAUGAAGGUCUUCGGAGCGUAAAACUCUGUUAUUAGGGAAGAACAAAUGUGUAAGUAACUAUGCACGUCUUGACGGUACCUAAUCAGAAAGCCACGGCUAACUACGUG